rnacentral:tRNA from 1 species
GGGGCUAUAGCUCAGUUGGUAGAGUGCUUGCCUUGCAUGCACAAGGUCCUGAGUUCAAUUCCUAGCACCA